rnacentral:rRNA from 1 species
GGAUGCCCAUGAAACCACGGCGGAGGCUACCCGGUGACAGGUGCUGCAUGGCUGUCGUCAGUUCGUGCCGUGAGGUGUUUGGUUAAGUCCACCAACGAACGCAACCCCUAUGAGCCGUUGCCAGCGGGUAAAGCCGGGAACUCAGCUCACACUGCUAGUUUACGCUAGAGGAAGGUGGGGAUGACGUCAAGUCAGUAUGGCCCUUACAUCCAGGGCUGCACACGUGCUACAAUGGGGCAUACAGAAGGCCGGUUGCACGCAAGUGUGAUCCAAUCUAUAAAGUGUCCCUCAGUUCGGAUUGGGGUCUGCAACCCGACCCCAUGAAGCUGGAUUCGCUAGUAAUCGCGCAUCAGCCAUGGCGCGGUGAAUACGUUCCCGGGCCUUGUACACACCGCCCGUCAAGCCAUGAAAGCCGGGGGCGCUGAAGUCCGUGACCGUAAGGAUCGGCCUAGAGCGAAACUGGUAAUGGGGCUAAGUCGUAACAAGGUAACCUA